AAUGAUGCUGUCCAUCUUCUUGGUAUUAUUUCCAAGGUCAGAAUGGUAGAAGCAAAUUAAAAAAGUUACUUUUUCCAUGCAUCACCUAUGAAACGCAGUUGGUUUGUAGGUUUAAUAUGUUUUCCCCAUUCAGCCUUAGAGUGAAUGCCUAUUUUCCCUAAUUCACUGCUCCUUAGAUUCUCCACCUAUAUCCGUAUCGAAUUAUUGAUGUAAAGCUUCACGUGCAUAUUGAGGGAUAAAAAGUUCUAGAGAUUUUUUGGUCAGCUUACUAGUACCCUACUUCAGUGGUUGAAUUGCUGGUAUGUAAUUUUACAAUAUGUGGUAUUCGGC
rnacentral:lncRNA from 1 species